AGUGAACGCUGGCGGUAGGCCUAACACAUGCAAGUCGAACGGCAGCACAGUAAGAGCUUGCUCUUACGGGUGGCGAGUGGCGGACGGGUGAGGAAUACAUCGGAAUCUACUUUUUCGUGGGGGAUAACGUAGGGAAACUUACGCUAAUACCGCAUACGACCUACGGGUGAAAGCAGGGGAUCUUCGGACCUUGCGCGAUUGAAUGAGCCGAUGUCGGAUUAGCUAGUUGGCGGGGUAAAGGCCCACCAAGGCGACGAUCCGUAGCUGGUCUGAGAGGAUGAUCAGCCACACUGGAACUGAGACACGGUCCAGACUCCUACGGGAGGCAGCAGUGGGGAAUAUUGGACAAUGGGCGCAAGCCUGAUCCAGCCAUACCGUGUGGGUGAAGAAGGCCUUCGGGUUGUAAAGCCCUUUUGUUGGGAAAGAAAAGCAGCAGGUUAAGACCCCGCUGUUCUGACGGUACCCAAAGAAUAAGCACCGGCUAACUUCGU
rnacentral:rRNA from 1 species